AUUGAACGCUGGCGGCAUGCCUUACACAUGCAAGUCGAACGGCAGCACGGGGCAACCUGGUGGCGAGUGGCGAACGGGUGAGUAAUGCAUCGGAACGUACCUUUCAGUGGGGGAUAACGUAGCGAAAGUUACGCUAAUACCGCAUAUUCUGUGAGCAGGAAAGCAGGGGAUCGCAAGACCUUGCGCUGAUUGAGCGGCCGAUGUCAGAUUAGCUAAUUGGUGAGGUAAAGGCUCACCAAGGCGACGAUCUGUAGCGGGUCUGAGAGGAUGAUCCGCCAACCUGGAACUGAGACACGGUCCAGACUCCUACGGGAGGCAGCAGUGGGGAAUUUUGGACAAUGGGGGCAACCCUGAUCCAGCCAUGCCGCGUGAGUGAAGAAGGCCUUCGGGUUGUAAAGCUCUUUCGGCCGGGAAGAAAUCGCACGGGCUAAUACCCUGUGUGGAUGACGGUACCGGAAUAAGAAGCACCGGCUAACUACGUGCCAGCCGCCGCCGUAACAC
rnacentral:rRNA from 1 species